GUUCUCUGCAUUUUUCUUAUAACAAGAACAUGCCCCAGUGUCAAAUAACCAUGCCGGGGAUGGCAGGAAAGGGACUCACGGGUUGUGAUUUUACAUGUGACGUCAGAAAGGCUCUGUAAACAGGAGGUAGGACGUGCGCCUGGCCAGCACCCCCCACUCCCAUGCGCAGUGAGUCAGGCUGGACGGCACGUAGUGAGCCAGGCGAGGUCACCACUCCACAACCCUUGUGACUGUCACCUUUGCAUAAACGGAGUGACUUUUCCCCCAAUCUCAUACCAGUCUGGCAGCACGUAUGAAAAGAACGGUGAGAGAAGCUGUUUUAUGCAUUUCUAAAGGAAGCAGAGAAGUGAGGAUGUCAAGACUUGGAGUACAUGACAGUUGGCCUUGGGCUUCGGUGGCCAGCCCAUGACUACAAAAGCCCAAGAAGCCAGCGAGUCCCCCGGCUCCUUCCACCAAGUGGCCUCUGGGUGAUGGGGAAGCUUGUCCUCUGCUUUGUCACACACAAAACUCUAAAAGUCAGGAUCCCAACGCAUCGGCCUGGAGAGCCCAUGCAGGAUGGACACUCUGCUGGGAGAUGUGGGAAAGGGUCUGCAAGUGGCCCCUCCCCUGUCAUCUGAAUCUUUCAUUUGGUCUUGGCAGCCCCAAAUGUGGCUUCACCCCAAAGAUUGGGCUCUCAGCCUCCGGUCCAGUCCCAGAGGCAAGCUGAGUGGGUCUCCCCACUCCCUCCAAAGACAAGGCAACUGGUGUCCGAGUCAUCCUCUGAGUGUAAACCUAUUUCCUAAGCAAAAGCCCCUCCGUCAUGGAAAACCAUCCACGAGCUAUGGUCCUCCCCAGGCUGCCUGUGGGACCCAGGAAGGCCUGCAUGAAGUCAGGAUUGGAGCUUGUUGGGAGCCUGCUACUUAUCAACUCCUGUGCUCCAGCCUGGGCGACAGAGCGAGACUCUGUCUUGAAAAUAAAUAAGUAAAUAAAUAAAUAACCUGCUCCUGUCUUUAUCUAGACUUUAAAAAAUCUCUUGCUCAUGUUGACUUGUCUGCAGUAAUUUGUAUUUUUAAAAACACUGCACUAAAAUAUUAUUUAUGUUGAGUACUGUUUUUUUUUUUUUUUUUUUUUGACACCCCUCCUUAAAUUUUGCACACACAGCCUCACCCUAGUCCCUGGCCUGAGCCAUAUCCGCUUUCCACCGGUCUCCCAUUUUAUUUUGAGACAAGGGCUCACUGUCACCCAGGCUGGCGUUCAGUGGCAUGAUCAUGGCUCACUGCAGCCUCAACCCACUGGGCUCAAGUGAUCCUCCUGCCUCAGCUUCCCAAGUAGCUGGGACUACAGGCAUGUACCACCGCGACUAGCUUUGUUUUUUAAUUGUAGAGAUAGGGUCUCUCUGUGUUGCUCAGGCUGGUUUCCAACUCCUGGUCUCAAGCGAUCCUCCUGCCUCGGCCUCCCAAAGUGCUGGGAUUACAGGCUCGAGCCACCACUCCCGGUCCUGGAUACUUUUAAUUUUGCAGCUGGAGAAGGGGACACAAGGGGAAGGAGGAUUUGUUGAAAUUAAAGUGCACUGCGAGAAAGAAUGUGUCACUAGCAUCCUCCUUUUGCCUGCGCGGGGGCCUCUGGCAGCACCCCCUCCCUCGCCAAGCCCAGCCUCUGCACAGGCUCCAGGAGACGCUGCUCCGGGUCCUGCGGUGGACCCCGGGCUGCACCCCCGUCGGUCGCCGCACAGAUGCGCACUUGGAGCAGGUUCUGGUUCUGGGGCUGGGGAAGCAUAAAUCGGGGCUCCAAACCCUACUGUAAGGCUCUUUAGGGCGCCAGCUCCGCAGAGGCAGGAGCCGCCGCACACGUGCGCGCCCGAAACUGCUAAAGCUCACUCGCGAGCUUGACCGCCGCGCCCUGGCGGCCGCUCCCCACGAGCUGACCUGGCUGACCCAGUGCCGCCGCUGCGCCUUCAAAGGGCGGCCGCAUCCUGUGGCCCCGGGGCGGCCCUCCUCGUCACGGGGCGGACGUCCCCGCCGUCACCUCCUUUGCCCUCGGUCGGGAGGGCGCCCCCCCUCCACUGCACUACCGGGCCGAGCUGGGCAGACCUCCAUCCUUCC
rnacentral:lncRNA from 1 species